rnacentral:sRNA from 1 species
GGCGCCGUGUGACUUCGGGCUGUGGGCUCGCUCGCGGCUCUUCGGCCAUGGUUUUCUCAAACAAUGAUGAAGGCCUUAUUAACAAAAAGUUACCCAAAGAACUUCUGUUAAGGACCUUUGCACAGAACUGCCGAAACAUUGAACAUUUGAACCUCAAUGGAUGCACAAAAAUCACUGACAGCACGUGUUAUAGCCUUAGCAGAUUCUGUUCCAAGCUGAAACAUCUGGAUCUGACCUCCUGUGUGUCUAUUACAAACAGCUCCUUGAAGGGGAUCAGUGAGGGCUGCCGAAACCUGGAGUACCUGAACCUCUCUUGGUGUGAUCAGAUCACGAAGGAUGGCAUCGAGGCACUGGUGCGAGGUUGUCGAGGCCUGAAAGCCCUGCUCCUGAGGGGCUGCACACAGUUAGAAGAUGAAGCUCUGAAACACAUUCAGAAUUACUGCCAUGAGCUUGUGAGCCUCAACUUGCAGUCCUGCUCACGUAUCACGGAUGAAGGUGUGGUGCAGAUAUGCAGGGGCUGUCACCGGCUACAGGCUCUCUGCCUUUCGGGUUGCAGCAACCUCACAGAUGCCUCUCUUACAGCCCUGGGUUUGAACUGUCCGCGACUGCAAAUUUUGGAGGCUGCCCGAUGCUCCCAUUUGACUGACGCAGGUUUUACACUUUUAGCUCGGAAUUGCCACGAAUUGGAGAAGAUGGAUCUUGAAGAAUGCAUCCUGAUAACCGACAGCACACUCAUCCAGCUCUCCAUUCACUGUCCUAAACUGCAAGCCCUGAGCCUGUCCCACUGUGAACUCAUCACAGAUGAUGGGAUCCUGCACCUGAGCAACAGUACCUGUGGCCAUGAGAGGCUGCGGGUACUGGAGUUGGACAACUGCCUCCUCAUCACUGAUGUGGCCCUGGAACACCUAGAGAACUGCCGAGGCCUGGAGCGCCUCGAGCUGUACGACUGCCAGCAGGUUACCCGUGCAGGCAUCAAGCGGAUGCGGGCUCAGCUCCCUCAUGUCAAAGUCCACGCCUACUUUGCUCCCGUCACCCCACCGACAGCAGUGGCAGGAAGUGGACAGCGACUGUGCAGGUGCUGUGUCAUUCUCUGACAGCAGCUGCCUGGGCCCAAGGGGUGAUGAGGCAUCCUUUCCUCUAGAAGACCUGAGUCUUCCUGACCGACUCCACCAUCACCCAAUCUGUUGAUUCUCCAUUGGGAAAGGCAUUUACAGUUUCCCAACAGGCACCUAUCAAGAUUUAAGAAUGGCGAAGACAAGAAAGGAUUUAUAAGCAACAUCUGACAUCACAUGGUGACCUGAAACAUGGCUCUGACCUAGCUAGUGCUCCUUUUGCCCUCUUCCCUAAUGAGCAGCCUCACCAGUACCCAUUUGCUUCUCUGAUACCUCUAAAGGUUAAUAAUCCUCAAGACAGACCAGACAGGCCCAGCAUCAAAAUACAUCAACUGUGUACAGUACUACAUCUAUCUCUAUCUAUCUGUCUGUCUGUCUGUCUGUCUGUCUGGUCUGUCUGUCUAUCUAAUCUAUCUGUCUGUCUAUCUAUCUAUCUGUCUAUCUAUCUAUCUUUCUUUCUUUCUUUCUUUUAUAUUUUCUGGAAGGGUUAUGGUGAACUUUAAUAUUUUUC